AAGAUGAGUGCUCUCCUA
rnacentral:rRNA from 1 species